rnacentral:lncRNA from 1 species
CCCAGAUCAAUCAGUCAAUCACAAAUCAAUAUCACCAUCAAUGAUAAGCAACAUCAACAGUAAAUUAAAUUGAUAGACACCUUCAGAGCCCUUAAUAACUAUACCCUUAUUGCCAAUAAAAUAUGUUUUGUAUUUUACAACUUUAUGAGAAGCACAGUAAUUAAUAUAUAGAAAAACAGGUUCUUACCUUCUACAACUUUACAUACUGUUUUUUAUCUCCCCCCUCAGGAUGAUCAGUCCCUCAGUUGGCGUCUAAAAACUCUACCAGCUACUUUAACACACUUCUAUCAAUGAGGAAACCUUAAGGAUCCCUCCUAGAAUUUUACUUUAACUGAGAAUAAUACAAAUCUAAAUAUGAGUAUAAUAUAAAUCUAAAUAUGAGUUUAAUAUAUAUAAAAAUAUAUUUCAAGCUAAAAAGCUACAGCAGAAAUCUUCUUCCAUCAGUCCACAGGUUGUUGAAGCUAAUAGAGAGUCGUACCCUUCUCCAGAAUGAUGCCUCCUUUAUACCCUCCAUCUUCCUUUCUGUUAACUCAUUGUGGCUAACACUCAAAAGGUGCUCUUUCAGCACCCACUAACCCCCAUCUUUCCUCACAUAGGCAGGACGUCUAGACAGGAUGCCUCCUCCUGGCUGCUCUGACCGGGGGAUUCCCAAAGCAAGAUAGCACCCUCAGUACACUCCAUUAUCAUUAACUUUUAAAACAUUUAUUUCUAAACAUUCAUUUUUAAACAUUAACAUUCCCUUCUCAAUUAUAAUCCCACUCGAACUUAUUCUUCCCAUUACUUCCUAAACAUUCAACAUUUUUAAAAACUUCAACAUUAUACCAUUUCAUCAUUAUAACAUGUCAUUACCAACCUCCUACAGACCAUAAGGCCUUGUCCUUUAAACCUAACCAACACAGUCUACAAGCAUCGUACCUUAAAGCAACCAACAUUAAAACAUUCUGAACCAUUUCACUGCAUUACUUGAAUCACAUUUUAAUAUCUCCCACUAUAUGUUUCCCCAGGCUUCCAACAUUUAACAUAUUUAACAUUUUAUUACUAUCUUAAUAAAUUAAUUUCUUCUUAUUUUCUUUAAUCAAUGUCAAUUCUCUCAGAAUGUUCAUUCUUCUUUGAGUUCCACGUGGUGGGUGAGACUGAACCUUCUUUGUGUGUGUGUGUGUGUGUGUGUGUGUGUGUGUGUGUGUGUGUGAGAGAGAGAGAGAGAGAGAGAGAGAGAGAGAGUGAUUGGGGCCUUCCUAACCAUGUCCUCUGUCACAGAACUGGGCCUUGCCUACUACUCUUGAAACUACUAUGUCCAUCUAAGACCUGAUGUUUUACCAGAUCUCAAACCUCUUGUCUGUUAGGAAGGGUCUUCUGUCCUGGAUUCUGUUGUUGAAGAGUCUAUAGAACAUGAUAAUUAUUAAUCAUUAUUAUUAUUAUUAUUCUAGUCCUGUGUGGCUCAGUUGGUAGAGUGUUUGCAAUGACAGGGUUGUGGUUUCGAUUCCCACGGGGGACCAGUACGGAGA